UACGUAGGGUGCAGGCGUUAAUCGGAAUUACUGGGCGUAAAGCGUGCGUAGGCGGUUCGUUAAGUUCGUUGUGAAAGCCCCGGGCUCAACCUGGGAAUGGCAAUGGAAACUGGCGGGCUGGAGUAUGGCAGAGGGGGGGGUGGAAUUCCGCGUGUAGCAGUGAAAAUGCGUAGAGAUGCGGAGGAACACCGAUGGCGAAGGCAGCCCCCCUGGGCCAAUACUGACGCUCAGGCACGAAAAGCGUGGGGGAGCAAACAGG
rnacentral:rRNA from 1 species